UGCCAGACUCCUACGGGAGGCAGCAGUGGGGAAUAUUGCACAAUGGGGGAAACCCUGAUGCAGCGACGUCGCGUGAGUGAAGAAGUAUCUCGGUAUGUAAAGCUCUAUCAGCAGGAAAGAUAAUGACGGUACCUGACUAAGAAGCCCCGGCUAACUACGUGCCAGCAGCCGCGGUAAUACGUAGGGGGCAAGCGUUAUCCGGAUUUACUGGGUGUAAAGGGAGCGUAGACGGCAGCGCAAGUCUGGAGUGAAAUGCCGGGGCCCAACCCCGGAACUGCUUUGGAAACUGUGCGGCUCGAGUGCGGGAGAGGUAGGCGGAAUUCCUAGUGUAGCGGUGAAAUGCGUAGAUAUUAGGAGGAACACCAGUGGCGAAGGCGGCUUACUGGACCGUAACUGACGUUGAGGCUCGAAAGCGUGGGGAGCAAACAGGAUUAGAUACCCCUGUAAGG
rnacentral:rRNA from 1 species